GCAAACUUGGUCAUUUAGAGGAAGUAAAAGUCGUAACAAGGUUUCCGUAGGUGAACCUGCGGAAGGAUCAUUACUGAGAUAGGGUCCCUUGGGCCCGACCUCCAACCCAUUGUUUAACUACCUUGUUGCUUUGGUAGAACAGCCUUUUAGCGGUCUGAAGCCUCUUUCUUUAACGGAAAGGGUAUAGGACUAGGGUCUGCCGAUAGCCUAUUUAAAAUCGUCUUGAAGAAUCUGCCGUCUGAAUUAAACUAGGAAAUAAGCAAAACUUUCAACAACGGAUCUCUUGGUUCUGGCAUCGAUGAAGAACGCAGC
rnacentral:misc_RNA from 1 species